GCUAUAUACAGUAGAGAGGCUAUAUACAGUAGAGAGGUUAUAUACAGUAGAGAGGCUAUAUACAGUAGAGAGGCUAUAUACAGUAGAGAGGUUAUAUACAGUAGAGAGGCUAUAUACAGUAGAGAGGCUAUAUACAGUAGAGAGGCUAUAUACAGUAGAGAGGCUACAUACAGUAGAGAGGUUAUAUACAGUAGAGAGGCUAUAUACAGUAGAGAGGCUAUAUACAGUAGAGAGGCUAUAUACAGUAGAGAGGUUAUAUACAGUAGAGAGGCUAUAUACAGUAGAGAGGCUAUAUACAGUAGAGAGGUUAUAUACAGUAGAGAGGUUAUAUACAGUAGAGGUUAUAUACAGUAGAGAGGCUAUAUACAGUAGAGAGGCUAUAUACAGUAGAGAGGCUAUAUACAGUAGAGAGGCUAUAUACAGUAGAGAGGUUAUAUACAGUAGAGAGGCUAUACACAGUAGAGAGGCUAUAUACAGUAGAGAGGCUAUAUACAGUAGAGAGGUUAUAUACAGUAGAGAGGCUAUAUACAGUAGAGAGGCUAUAUACAGUAGAGAGGCUACAUACAGUAGAGAG
rnacentral:lncRNA from 1 species